rnacentral:rRNA from 1 species
GACGAACGCUGGCGGCGUGCUUAACACAUGCAAGUCGAACGGAAAGGCCCUGCUUGCAGGGUACUCGAGUGGCGAACGGGUGAGUAACACGUGGGUGAUCUGCCCUGCACUUCGGGAUAAGCCUGGGAAACUGGGUCUAAUACCGGAUAGGAGCCAUUUUUAGUGUGAUGGUUGGAAAGUUUUUUCGGUGUAGGAUGAGCUCGCGGCCUAUCAGCUUGUUGGUGGGGUAAUGGCCUACCAAGGCGGCGACGGGUAGCCGGCCUGAGAGGGUGGACGGCCACAUUGGGACUGAGAUACGGCCCAGACUCCUACGGGAGGCAGCAGUGGGGAAUAUUGCACAAUGGGCGCAAGCCUGAUGCAGCGACGCCGCGUGGGGGAUGACGGCCUUCGGGUUGUAAACUCCUUUCGCUAGGGUCGAAGCUUUUUGUGACGGUACCUAGAUAAGAAGCACCGGCUAACUACGUG